AUUACUCAAACCCCAUAUCUCUUCACUCUCACAACGAGAAAAGCCACACAGACCCAUUUUUUCUCUAACCCUAAUUAACUCACUACACAAAGGCAGCCCCUUCUCUGUUGCCUCUUCCAGACUCGAGCAACUGCAGCCCCUAUCGAGCCUCCAUGUCGCCGAACCUAUGGAGCCGCAAUCGCUAACGUCGUUGCCCCCCAUGGCCGGCCAUGGCCAACGUCGGCAACGAUGUUUCGACUUCGCUCUUUCCUUCUCAACAGUCUCUUCUUCUCGACACCAACAACACUAAUCCAACCCCUGAAACAUGUGUUCACCUUCUACCCACCACCAAUGACACUGGCACCCGUCGAAGGCCUCACCGGCGACACCAUCGCCCUUCGCUCCGCCACGCGUGAAGCGCUCAUACACUAUUAACAACAUCUCCUACUCCGUUUCUCCAACACGUUCGAGACAGCGCGACUCGCCACCACCGCACCAGCCACCGCGACUGGGUUCGUAAUCGUCACCAACUACAGCCCUCCAUUCGAACUCCGACUCGCCGCCGACACUCCUUUGUUCAUCUCCUAUGAUUGGAUGUGGCUGAUUGGGUUUUCCCCUUGUUGAAAACCCAAAAAUAGUACUGAAAAUGCGAAAAAAAAUGAGGUGAGGGAUGGCGCACACAGUGAGGCAAGAGCAUGAGCGCCUCUUCGACGCCCUGAGUCUAAGUCACAAGCAGAAAAUCGAUUUGAGAACCAUUUAGACCCUUCUUGAGAAGGGUGAGGAAAAUUAUGAUAAAGUCAUUGCGUUUGGUGAAAUUUAGUUUGAGAGUAAGAAAAUGGAAGGUGUGGGUGUUGUAAAGAAGAAAAGGGGUGGUGACAGAGGUAAUAAAAAAAAUGUUGAUUCAUUAAUUGUGUUUACUUGCUAGUGAUUUGGUACACUAGAAUGAGAAUUUUUUACUUUGGCUCGUUAUCAUGAGAAGCAUUUGAGACUGGUUUUGUGUUUUUCAUGGUUGUGAUUUUGCUUGGCAAUGGAAUUGUUAUUUUAAGAAAAAAAUGUUUCUUUCUUAAAUUUUUAAAUGGCCAAUAUUUCUUUUUCAUUUGAAAAUAUUGAUUUCAUAGUAUUUGAUCAAAUCGUUAUAGAGCUAAUACUCCAUUGAGGUAUGUAUGUCCCUAUUUCACUGUUCCAUUGAGGUUCUUUGAACUUCAUGAGAAAUAAUAGGGCUAAUACUCCAUUGAGGUUCUUUAAAGUUCAUGAGAAAUAAUAGGGCUAAUACAAGGGUGUAAAGAAAAUGUUACUUGGAAAAAAGUGAUCAUGACCCUUUUGACAUUUUUUUGCAGCUAUGAACAAAACUUUAGAUAUAGUUGUUCAUGCAUUUUUUCAUGUUGUUACUAAAUCAGAAUCGGGGUUUCACAGUGUUAAUCUUUUUUUUUCAUAUAUAUUUAAUGAAUCUUUUAUAGUUCAAAUUAGUGAGAUAGCUUUAAUCUUGGUUGGUAUUGGUAUUAUCUCUGUUUUUUGUUCUCUUUUUACCUCCAAGGCAGCUUCCAGUUGCUUUUGCUCCAGAGCUGACUAUUGUGCUGAUGUGUAUCUUUGGAUGACGAAUUUGAAUGUUUGUUCCCUUUCUUAAAAGUGGUCUCGUAAGUGACUUACUAAUUAUCCAUCUUUUAUUAUGUAGGAUUGCUAUUAUGAUUUGUGUAUAUUUCUUGUGCAUGGGAUUUCUAUUUCAGAAGAUUUAGUGGUAGCUCUAGCAGAUGGGUUGCAAGCAUCUGGACUCAAUUUGGUUAAUAGUGGUGUGUCAAGUAAAACAAAUAGCUUGGAUAUGUCAUUACGUGCUUUAUCCACAAGUGAACACUUAAAGCUACAUAACGAGGCAGAGAAUCUUUUGCUGGAGAGGGGGAUAACAAAGAGUUGUGACAGGUGCAAACAAAGGAAUUGGAUUAGAGAUAGUUAAGCAGUUAGUCUCAACUGUGAUCAAGCUGGUACGCAUAACUUGAAAGUGGUGUGCCAUCUCCCCAUGAAAUAGUAGGAUCAAGUGGUGGAAACAAAACACCUUAGACUUAGGACUUUUAAUGUUGUCUUUUUUUCUUAGAUACUUGAAUAUUUUGGUACUCUUAAUAUUGUCUUUUUUUUUUUCAAAUGCUUGAAUUGAUAUUUUGGUGUAGUUAUGUUAUAUUGACAAUGAAUCAAUUUAGUUUAUCAAUUUCUA